rnacentral:rRNA from 1 species
GAUGAACGCUGGCGGCGUGCCUAAUACAUGCAAGUCGAGCGAACAGACGAGGAGCUUGCUCCUCUGACGUUAGCGGCGGACUGGUGAGUAACACGUGGAUAACCUACCUAUAAGACUGGGAUAACUUCGGGAAACCGGAGCUAAUACCGGAUAAUAUAUUGAACCGCAUGGUUCAAUAGUGAAAGACGGUUUUGCUGUCACUUAUAGAUGGAUCCGCGCCGCAUUAGCUAGUUGGUAAGGUAACGGCUUACCAAGGCAACGAUGCGUAGCCGACCUGAGAGGGUGAUCGGCCACACUGGAACUGAGACACGGUCCAGACUCCUACGGGAGGCAGCAGUAGGGAAUCUUACGCAAUGGGCGAAAGCCUGACGGAGCAACGCCGCGUGAGUGAUGAAGGUCUUCGGAUCGUAAAACUCUGUUAUUAGGGAAGAACAAAUGUGUAAGUAAAUAUGCACGUCUUGACGGUACCUAAUCAGAAAGCCACGGCUAACUACGUG